rnacentral:rRNA from 1 species
GACGAACGCUGGCGGCGUGCUUAACACAUGCAAGUCGAACGAUGAAGCUGGAGCUUGCUCUGGUGGAUUAGUGGCGAACGGGUGAGUAACACGUGAGUAACCUGCCCUGGACUCUGGGAUAACCCCGAGAAAUCGGAGCUAAUACCGGAUAGGACCUUGCACCGCAUGGUGUGGGGCGGAAAGUUUUUCGGUCUGGGAUGGACUCGCGGCCUAUCAGCUUGUUGGUGAGGUAAUGGCUCACCAAGGCGUCGACGGGUAGCCGGCCUGAGAGGGUGACCGGCCACACUGGGACUGAGACACGGCCCAGACUCCUACGGGAGGCAGCAGUGGGGAAUAUUGCACAAUGGGCGCAAGCCUGAUGCAGCAACGCCGCGUGCGGGAUGACGGCCUUCGGGUUGUAAACCGCUUUUAGUAAGGAAGAAGGGGCUUCGGCCUUGACGGUACUUGCAGAAAAAGGACCGGCUAACUACGUGCCAGCCGCCGCAGUAAGAC